rnacentral:rRNA from 1 species
ACAAGCGCGGAGCAUGCGGAUUAAUUCGAUGCAACGCGAAGAACCUUACCAAGGCUUGACAUACACCGGUAACGCCCAGAGAUGGGUGCCCCUUUGUGGUCGGUGUACAGGUGGUGCAUGGUUGUCGUCAGCUCGUGUCGUGAGAUGUUGGGUUAAGUCCCGCAACGAGCGCAACCCUCGUCCUAUGUUGCCAGCGGGUCAUGCCGGGGACUCAUGGGAGACUGCCGGGGUCAACUCGGAGGAAGGUGGGGAUGACGUCAAAUCAUCAUGCCCCUUAUGUCUUGGGCUUCACGCAUGCUACAAUGGCCGGUACAAAGGGCUGCGAUACCGCGAGGUGGGGCGAAUCCCAGAAAGCCGGUCUCAGUUCGGAUUGGGGUCUGCAACUCGACCCCAUGAAGUCGGAGUCGCUAGUAAUCGCAGAUCAGCAACGCUGCGGUGAAUACGUUCCCGGGCCUU